UUUACACAUGCAAGUCGAACGGCAGCACGGACUUCGGUCUGGUGGCGAGUGGCGAACGGGUGAGUAAUAUAUCGGAACGUAUCCAAUAAUGGGGGAUAACUAAUCGAAAGGUUGGCUAAUACCGCAUACGCCCUACGGGGGAAAGCUAGGGAUCUUCGGACCUGGCGUUAAUGGAGCGGCCGAUAUCUGAUUAGCUAGUUGGUGAGGUAAGAGCUCACCAAGGCGACGAUCAGUAGCUGGUCUGAGAGGACGACCAGCCACACUGGAACUGAGACACGGUCCAGACUCCUACGGGAGGCAGCAGUGGGGAAUUUUGGACAAUGGGCGAAAGCCUGAUCCAGCCAUUCCGCGUGAGUGAAGAAGGCCUUCGGGUUGUAAAGCUCUUUCGCAAGGGAAGAAAACUUAGUCUCUAACAUAGACUGAGGUUGACGGUACCUUGAUAAGAAGCACCGGCUAACUACGUGCCAGCAGCCGCGGUAAUACGUAGGGUGCGAGCGUUAAUCGGAAUUACUGGGCGUAAAGCGUGCGCAGGCGGUUUUGUAAGUCAGAUGUGAAAUCCCCGAGCUCAACUUGGGAACUGCGUUUGAAACUACAAGACUAGAAUAUGUCAGAGGGGGGUAGAAUUCCACGUGUAGCAGUGAAAUGCGUAGAGAUGUGGAGGAAUACCAAUGGCGAAGGCAGCUCCCCUGGGAUAAUAUUGACGCUCAUGCACGAAAGCGUGGGGAGCA
rnacentral:rRNA from 1 species